rnacentral:rRNA from 2 species
GGACUACCCGGGUUUCUAAUCCUGUUUGCUCCCCUAGCUUUCGUGCCUCAGUGUCAGGUGUUGUCCAGGGACUCGCCUUCGCCACUGGUGUUCCGCUUGAUAUCUACGCAUUUCACUGCUACACCAAGCAUUCCAGUCCCCCCUCCAACCCUCAAGCGAAGCAGUUUCCAAUGCAAUUUCGGAGUUGAGCUCCGAGCUUUCACAUCCGACUUGCUCCGCCACCUACGCACCCUUUACGCCCAGUGAAUCCGAACAACGCUUGGGACCUCUGUAUUACCGCGGCUGCUGGCAC